rnacentral:rRNA from 1 species
UACGUAGGGCGCAAGCGUUGUCCGGAAUUAUUGGGCGUAAAGAGCUCGUAGGCGGUCUGUUGCGUCCGCUGUGAAAUCCCCGGGCUUAACCUGGGAAUGGCAUUUGGGACUGCAAGGCUUGAGUGCGGCAGAGGAGACUGGAAUUCCUGGUGUAGCAGUGAAAUGCGUAGAUAUCAGGAGGAACACCGAUGGCGAAGGCAGCCCCCUGGGCCAGCUACUGACGCUCAUGCACGAAAGCGUGGGGGAGCAAACAGG